UAGGGAAUCUUCGGCAAUGGGGGCAACCCUGACCGAGCAACGCCGCGUGAGUGAAGAAGGUUUUCGGAUCGUAAAGCUCUGUUGUAAGAGAAGAACGUGUGUGAGAGUGGAAAGUUCACACAGUGACGGUAACUUACCAGAAAGGGACGGCUAACUACGUGCCAGCAGCCGAGGUAAUACGUAGGUCCCGAGCGUUGUCCGGAUUUAUUGGGCGUAAAGCGAGCGCAGGCGGGUUAAUAAGUCUGAAGUUAAAGGCAGUGGCUUAACCAUUGUUCGCUUUGGAAACUGUUAAACUUGAGUGCAGAAGGGGAGAGUGGAAUUCCAUGUGUAGCGGUGAAAUGCGUAGAUAUAUGGAGGAACACCGGUGGCGAAAGCGGCUCUCUGGUCUGUAACUGACGCUGAGGCUCGAAAGCGUGGGGAGCAAACCGG
rnacentral:rRNA from 1 species